UCUGGUGGCAAUGGUGGAGGUGAUAUACCCGUUCCCAUUCCGAACACGGAAGUCAAGCCCUCUAACGCCGAUGAUACUGCCCCCCGGAGGGGUGGGAAAGUAGGAAGCCGCCAGGC
rnacentral:rRNA from 1 species